ACCCGUCAGCGCGAGCCUCCCGCGCGCCCCGCCCAGCGGCCGCCCCGGCGAGGAGCAGCUCGGUGCUGCCUACAGCCUCGGCCGGGCCCGCGGCUCCUCCCCGGCGUUCGGGAAGAUGGCCCCGCCCGGCCAGGAAGUUGCCUUCUGAACUAUGUAACUUCUCAACCCAAACUGGCUCCUUUUGUCACACAAGCUCUUGUUCAAGCCAUUGCUAAAGUUACCAAAUUAGGAUGGUUUGACAUACUGAAAGACCAGCUUGUCUUCAAGACAUCAUUGCUGAUGUGGAAGAAUUCUUGCAGGACACUGUGGACCAUUGUAUCAUAGGAGUAAUGAUUCUCUCAGAACUGACUAAGGAAAUAAAUCUAGCUGAUUACUCAAGACCUUCAGCAAAACAUCAUAAAUAGCAACCCCAUUCUUGGCACCUCUUUAAAGGACAUACUGGUGCUUGCGUGCUCUCUUUUAAGAGAGGUGAGGCUCUUCACAAUUAAGCUUAAGUUCAUAGCAUCCUGAUUGUCGCAGCAUGAAUCACUAGUAUUUUCUUAAUCAGGGGGUUUAUGUGUGGCCCAGUGAAGCUCAAGACCUAAAAAUGUUCAGUGGGAAAAUGUCCAUCUCCCUUCCUCCAUGUCUCACUUGCUCUGCGUUUCUGUCCUCCCCGUUUGGCACAAAUGGUGAACCAUCUAAUUCUGAAUGAUGUUUGAAUGUCUUCCCUUUGUUCCUUUUUAUUUUCUCAGCUUCAUGUAGUUUAAACUGUGAUCAAAGCUGGAAUUUGUUUUUUUUAAUCAAUUAAAGCUUUCCACAGCAGCCGAAGUGGCGCCAUGAGGAACCAUUCUACUUGAGCUCAAUCAACUCAGUGCUUUUGAGAGGAGCUCGUUGUUGAAGUGUUACCUGGCUCCAGUUCUUUAACUCCUUUGGGAGGAGUGCUGAUUUGUUCACUUUUUCUGAGAAUCCAGCAAGUUGGGUGUUGACAUUUGGACACUGGAUUUCAUGCUGUGAAUUUAAAUGCAGGUGCCGUGAUGGUAUGUCAGUAGGUAAUGGUAAUGGGGACUUUUUAGAAGGGUAUGACACUCAAGGCUCAGACAACUGAUUAAGGUACUGCUGUAAAAAGCAAGGAAAAUUGUCUUGGUUUAAAUUUCUUUCAGUUUGUUGUAGGCAGACUAGUGUAUUUUACCUCAUUCUUGCAGUAGGUUUAAAUGGUGCACGUGAUCAGCUACCAGUACUCAGCUGAGGGGCAGUUUUUUAACACAUAUAACAGUGUGUGAGUCCUUACUUCUAAAGCGGUGUGCUAUGCUGAUGGAGAAAUCAUAUGCCAUUUAAAAGAGGAACUAGAUAUUUUUGCAAGAACAUGCCAUCUUCUUGGAUACAGUAAAUGCCAUUACACAUGGAAACAGUAAAUGUGUUUAUGGGAACUUUCUAGCUUCUUUCAAGUUCAGCUGGUCUGCAGGUGCCUUUGUAGCCUCUGCCAUGUGAAGAGGCUUGUCGGAGUGACAUCCCGUGCAGCUAUUGGGACAGAAGUGUAUGAAAACUAUAAUUGGCAUCUUUAUAGUUUAGCAUAGAAAGCUGAUUUUAGAAAUAUUUAUCAGCAUCUAUAGCACAUUGAAAAACACGCUCAGAUAAUAAUUAAAGAAUCAUUAAAAUAAUUGCAGCCUAUUGCUUGCAAGAGCCUAGAAGUUAGGAGAGGAGUGGCAGCAAAAUGGUUGAUAUCAAAGCCAAGUGAAUUUAAUGUCAGUACUGAUCUCAUGCAAUAGUUGUUACAGAGUUAAUGAGGCGUCUAAUGACAGUUAAUGCUGAUUCCUGUUAUCUUUGUUUUGUUGAUCAGCUUGAAGGUGAGACUUGGAAUUCAAGUAAACGGCAGAUGAUUACGAUACAAAGUUGUUGCAUUUCUUGUACAGUUUUUCUAACAAAACGUGUCCUUACAGCAUUAAGGAACCAUGUCAGUGACUGGUGAAUUUGAGGUUUGUUUUUGAUGCCUUUGUAUUGUGCUUGUAAUUUCGAAGCAGUAACUUUCUUUAAGAUAAAACAUUAAAUUUUCAUUAUUACAGUGAGAAAUAAAUAAAAAUGUAUUCUUGCUGUGUGUUCAGUGUAGAUUUCUGAAUCCCAAGAGCUUGUUUUACUUAACAAGUACCUUUUUAUUCUGACAGUACAGAUGCAUUAUAUUUGCAUUGUUACUGCAACAGAGACAGCUGUUUACUACUGUAAAUAGCUGAAUUCAGAUUACAUUCAGACUGUUCAUUUUAUUUUAUUUUUUUUUAAUGUGAGACUUUUCUAGACAUAGCAAAGGAAUAGUGUGAGUAUAUUAAGUGAAAUCGUGUUGUUUAGCAGGUUGGACAAUCGUAGGCAUUGAACUGAAAGAUCACCGAUUGCUGACACAAUCCUUUCCCAUACAAUGUAUAUGGUAGAUGCUCCACGCUGGUCUGGAGUAACCACAAAGCAUGAAACCUUACAGUUUGAUUUUUGCAAUGAGCAUUAGCAGUAUUUUAGCAGGCUUUAUCACUGACGUGCCCUGUCUUAUCUGUCACCUGACAAGGUGAUUCCUUGGCCAAACCUUUGACCCUUUGCGAUCGAUGGCAACGAAGUCUAGCAGUGCAUCUGUUGAAGCUUGUACUAAAUUGUCAAUUUUGAUUUCAUUGGAAACUCAGCUAAUGAAUCUGCAGAUGACCUAUGCACUGUGCAGAUUCCAGGAAGCUGGAGAAGAAGUAAGGAAGAAUUGCAUUGCUAGUAGUUCCUUCCUGGAGCCAAAGACCUUGGGCCUGUUUUUUGAUUUGUGUCAUUGCCUUCCACCAAUGUUGGCUCGUUCAGUUUGCUUCUACAAGGAGAUCUUUAUUCAGCAAUCCAGAACGUGCCAGGUAUCUUGGUAAUCUAAUCAAAGGAGCGAAACAAAUACUUGAAAAUCCACAGGGUUUAUCUGAUCCCUUGAAUUCUGUCGGUUCUUGGCUCAGCUGAUGACAAACCAUCAACUAGGAGAGUUAGUGACAGAUUACCCAGAAGUUAUCCAGCUCAUAGCAAACUGUACUGUUAAUGGCCUACAGCAGUGGAAGAUAAUACCCAGGAGUAGGGUGCUGCUCCUGUAGGCCAGAGUGUCAGUGGGUAGCACACUGCAGUAAGUGUGAGCGUGGUCUGUGGUGUGUUCCAUAACAUCUCAAUUCUGACAGGGUCCUUCAGUAUUUAGCACUGGGAGUUUGCUCCAAAUAGCGUUUGUUAUUUGGUAACUCUGUGGCAAAGAAUGGAGGCAUCUGUACCUUUUGUGAAAACAGCAGAACUCUGCCUCUUAGAUCCGUGUGCACCUGAGAUAACAAAAGCUUAUAUUACCUCCAGACUGGAGUGUGUUCCUGCAGUAGUAAGAGAUGGCCUGGAAGAUUCACUGCAUGAUAUAGCUACAGUUUUCCAACAACUGGAGCAACUAUGCAGUUAGCAGGUGUGGAUGUGAAAAGAUCUGUGCACUUCUUGGACAGUUGUUUGACCAAAAUGCCCAAAACUACCGAAAACUAUUGCACUCCUCUAGUAGGAAUCCAUUAGAAGUCACAGUCCAGGAAGGACGUCUGGCACGGCGUG